rnacentral:rRNA from 1 species
UACGUAGGGUGCAAGCGUUGUCCGGAAUUAUUGGGCGUAAAGAGCUCGUAGGCGGUCUGUCGCGUCGGCUGUGAAAGCCCGGGGCUCAACCCCGGGUCUGCAGUCGAUACGGGCAGGCUAGAGUGCGGUAGGGGAGACUGGAAUUCCUGGUGUAGCGGUGAAAUGCGCAGAUAUCAGGAGGAACACCGGUGGCGAAGGCGGGUCUCUGGGCCGUAACUGACGCUGAGGAGCGAAAGCGUGGGGAGCGAACAGG